CUUCAUCAGACAUCCCUGUGCAUUCCUGACCAGGUUUGGCUGUGUCUACCCCAGGCUGCAAAAAGAAAUGCAAAUGUAUCCUCACCUCCUACGGUCUUCUUGUCAUGCAAAGAGAGAUCUAUAUGAUCUGGACUACGUCAGAC